rnacentral:tRNA from 1 species
AUCGCGGUAGCUCAGUUGGUAGAGCGGCAGGUUGAAGCCCUGCGCGUCGUUGGUUCAAGUCCAGCCCGCGGUGCCA